GCAAGUCGAGCGGUAACAGAGAUAGCUUGCUAUCUGCUGACGAGCGGCGGACGGGUGAGUAAUGCUUGGGAAUAUGCCUUUGAGUGGGGGACAACAGUUGGAAACGACUGCUAAUACCGCAUAACGUCUACGGACCAAAGGGGGGGAUGCUUCGGCACCUCUCGCCAUUUGAUUAGCCCAAGUGAGAUUAGCUAGUAGGUGAGGUAAAGGCUCACCUAGGCGACGAUCUCUAGCUGGUUUGAGAGGAUGAUC
rnacentral:rRNA from 1 species